UACGUAGGGGGCUAGCGUUGUCCGGAAUCAUUGGGCGUAAAGAGCGUGUAAGCGGCCCGGUAAGUCCGCUGUGAAAGUCGGGGGCUCAACCCUCGAAUGCCGGUGGAUACUGUCGGGCUAGAGUGCGGAAGAGGCGAGUGGAAUUCCUGGUGUAGCGGUGAAAUGCGCAGAUAUCAGGAGGAACACCAAUUGCGAAGGCAGCUCGCUGGGACGUAACUGACGCUGAGACGCGAAAGCGUGGGGAGCAAACAGG
rnacentral:rRNA from 1 species